rnacentral:rRNA from 1 species
GUGCCAGCAGCCGCGGUAAUUCCAGCUCCAAUAGCGUAUAUUAAAGUUGUUGUGGUUAAAAAGCUCGUAGUUGAACCUUGGGCCUGGCUGGCCGGUCCGCCUCACCGCGUGCACUGGUCCGGCCGGGCCUUUCCCUCUGUGGAACCCCAUACCCUUCACUGGGCGUGGCGGGGAAACAGGACAUUUACUUUGAAAAAAUUAGAGUGCUCCAGGCAGGCCUAUGCUCGAAUACAUUAGCAUGGAAUAAUAAAAUAGGACGCGCGGUUCUAUUUUGUUGGUUUAUAGGACCGCCGUAAUGAUUAAUAGGGACAGUCGGGGGCAUCAGUAUUCAACUGUCAGAGGUGAAAUUCUUGGAUCAGUUGAAGACUAACUACUGCGAAAGCAUUUGCCAAGGAUGUUUUCAUUAAUCAGGAACGAAAGUUAGGGGAUCGAAGACGAUCAGAUACCGUCGUAGUCUUAACCAUAAACUAUGCCGACUAGGGAUCGGACGGUGUUAUUCAUGACCCGUUCGGCACCUUACGAGAAAUCAAAGUGCUUGGGCUCCAGGGGGAGUAUGGUCGCAAGGCUGAAACUUAAAGAAAUUGACGGAAGGGCACCACCAGGGGUGCAGCCUGCGGCUUAAUUUGACUCAACACGGGGAAACUCACCAGGUCCAGACACAAUAAGGAUUGACAGAUUGAGAGCUCUUUUCUUGAUUUUGUGGGUGGUGUUGCAUGACGUUCUUAGUUGGUGGGGUGACUUGUCUGCUUAAUUGCGAUAACGAACGAGACCUUAAUCUUGCUAAAUAGCUCGCAUUGCUCCGGCAGUGG